GUUCGCGUCUAUGUUUGACUCAGAUUUUCACAGCCUUUACAGUAAGCAGUGAUUUCAUAGCUUCCUGGAAGUGUCUGGUUAUAGGAGAGGCGUUAGCUUUUGUUCCUGUGUUAUCAGAAGUUUUGUGUCUCACCAGUAGCAGGCUCACAUACAGCAUGUGAUCCAGGGCUGUGAGGGAAAUUGUCCCCACUCCUCAGAUCCUUUGUUGAUGUAGAGCCCGAAGGCUUUGUUCUGGGGUUCUGAAGAUGCUUGCUAUUGUGGUGGACAUCAGCUAUUCAUCUUAACCUGCAUUUACAAGUGUGUCUCUGCACAUCAUCAUCCAUUAAAGCCUCGAGUCAGUAUUUUGUUUUCUUACUUUAAUUAUUUGACUGUGUCUGGUAAUACAAUGCAAAACACAGACAAAUAUUCUCCCUGUAACCAUACAGAUUAAUCCCAAAUCACUAAAUGUAGGAAAUCUUUCCCCUGAAAAUAGAAGAAAGGCACUUUCUCACUCACAGACCCAAGUUCAUAGCAUGUGUGAUUCAACGUCUCAGUUGAAUCUCCUAGAGCAGUAUCUUGGCUGUUACUGAGUUUGUUUCAUGACUGAUUUUCUGCAUCUGGUUUUGCUGGAGAGUUCAGGCUGUUUGUGCAGGGCUUCAAUACUAAGACUUUUUAAGCUGGCCUGAAAUCUGGAGGAAAUUAUCUGUCCCAUACCCCUACCUGUCAAAACUUUCUCAUAGGACUUCAGAUAUUACUCCUCUGUAGGUAGGACUGGGUAUGCAGCAGAUCCUCUCUGUGGGUUUGAGCUGAGGAGGAACCAUGAGCACCUUCUGCUUCUGUGCUUAUGCAGGGAGCAACGCCAGGAUGCUUCUGGGGGUAAAUCUUUGUGCUCUGUGCCUUUCCUCCUGGUCCUUCAGUUGCUGUGCUUCAACAGAAGCCCUUAAGUAUAAUAUCUCUGGAUAUUAUCUGGAUGUUUGAGGGUUUCAGUCACAGGUUUUCCUUUUUAUCAAUGCAUUAAUGAGAAAGACAUCUUUGGUCAUUCAGUGAACUUUACAAAUCAUGAGUGUUUUCAGUGCCGUCAUGUAAGUGGAAAAAAAAUUACUCAGAGUUUUUGGAUGAUUCGCCAGACAUUCCCAAAGGACAUUUGCUGCACAUAAUGUUGAUGUGCAUCAGAAAACGGAACUGCCUGUCAGUGUUUGUGGCCUCACUGAAUGCUGCUUGAUAAUGGCUUGGUUAACUUGGGUCUCUGGGGACUGAGCUAACUAACAUCCGUUGCCAGUAUUAUACUUAACUUGCGUGCUUUCAUUUCAUGCAGCUUUGUCACACUGCUAGAAUGGUGGGGAAGAAUUAGGAUAGAAUAAAGCGACUUAAGAAAGUCAGCCAAAAUUAAGUGGAAUUUUGAUGAGGGAUUUUUUUUUUUCUUCAUGAUGUUUCAUUGCUUUCUCUCACUUUGUAUCUUCCUUGGUCUUCACAAAAGGAUGAUUAUUUUUCACUCUGAAAAGCUCAAGAUGUCCAGCAGGCACAGACUGGAGCUGGAAGGACUGUGUGCAGGAAAUGACAUUGCCAGACCUACAGAGCAGUCAGUAAGCACUAUGUCAAGGAAAAGAAAGCUGUUGGCUCAAUUAAGCGCCCUCCAAAGCAACUGCAGCAUCCCUCUUUCUGAUGCCUUGAAGAGCCCCACCACGACUCCUGAUGGCAACUCUUCUCCAACAAGCAGCAAAUAUUUUGUAACAGAGAAAAAACAAUCUUCCCAACUGGAAGCAGAUUUCUUCAACCAGCCCUGUAUCAGCCUGGCCAAAUCCUUCCUGGGACAGAUUCUAGUUCGCAAACUUCCCGACGGCAGGGAGCUCUGGGGGAGGAUUGUUGAAACAGAAGCUUAUCUUGGUGGGGAAGAUGAGGCUUCUCACUCAAAAGGUGGGAAGCAAACUCAACGGAACGCAGCCAUGUUCAUGAAACCAGGAACUCUGUACGUGUACCAGAUCUAUGGGAUUUAUUUCUGCGUGAACGUUUCCAGCCAAGGGGAAGGGGCUGCAGUCUUACUCCGCUCUCUGGAGCCUCUCCAAGGUUUGGAUGUGAUGAGGGAGCUGCGCAGCACUUCAAGGAAAGGACCUGCAAAGCCACUGAAGGACUGGCAGCUGUGUAAUGGGCCCUCCAAGCUCUGCCAAGCAUUUGGGAUUGAUAAGGCUUUUGACCAAAGGGACCUGACUCAAGAUGCGGCCAUCUGGAUGGUACCUGGACAGGAGCUGCCCAGGGAGCAGGACGUGGUAGCCACGACCAGGAUUGGUAUUGGGAACAGAGGGGAAUGGUCACAGAAACCUCUCAGGUUUUAUUUAAGAGGAAACAAAUUUGUGAGUGUUGUAGACAAGAAAAUGGAGCGAGAGAUGGCAGCAAUGGAACCCAUCUCUUGCAGCUGAUGAAUCUUGCAAGUGUGCCACCAACCAGGACUUGAGCUGUGUGCUCUUUUGGAGAGCCUCAAGCCGUGUUGGGGCAGCAGCAAGGGCAGCUUGGAGGUUUUUAACAAUAAACAUAACUUUAUUGCAGCAAGGUGGAAUUUUAUUCAUGGGGCAGACGAGAAUGAAUCUUCCAGCCAGAACUGAGGUUGGAUUUGAGCACUGAAAGCCCCUUUCUCUCUUGUGAAUGGAUCCAGGCUCUGGUAAGGUGGAUGACUAGUGAAAGCUCACUGCUUUGAGCUGCUGUGUUGCUCCUCUUUGUGCUGGCCCCCAGGAGAGGCCAGAAGACUUGGUUUCUUCAGUGGAAUGCCAAAAGAGUGGGUGGCAGUAGGGCUGUCAGAAACUGAGAGAGCUGGUUUUGAUCAGUCUGGAGAUGAGGAGGAGAAAGAAUCGUGCUGCUGACUACAGCUGCCUAGUGGGAGGGUGCAGAGAAGGCAGAGCCAGAGUUUUGUCAGAGGUACACAGGGACAGGAUGAGAUGUAAUGGGCACAAGCUAGAAAACAGGAAAUUCUCAUUAGCUAUAUGGAAAACUGUUUCACCAUGAGGGUGGUCAAAUGCUGGAACUGGGAGCAAUCAGACCACCAUACAAGCUCCUGAUUGAUCUCAUGUAACAUUUUCUCUGAGCAGAAUUUGGACAGAAGAUCUCUAGAGACCCUGACCAACCUACACUAUUCUAUAAAAUCCAGUGAGUUUUUUGCUUUGUUUAUUUUUUCCAGCUGCUUUUGAGACCAGUUCAGAGUUUACGAGUGUGGGAGCCUGAACACAGAGAAAGAACCAAUGCUGAGAUCUCUGCCUCACAGCUCUUUCUGCAAAGCUGCAGCCUGCCAUGAAGUACAGAGGGAGGGAAAAAAUAGGAUUCAGGGGAGAAUCCAUACGAUUGCAGCCAUGCUGGCAGUUUGCCUUGCAUGUGUGGCACCAAGCCCUGCAACUAGGCCAAACAGUUGCUUGGAUCUCAACUGCAGGGAAGGCUCACAGAAGGGACUGUGCUGAAGUAGCUGCCAUCAGGUAUCCAGUGCGCUGCAGGCCCUGUGCUGUUCCUUG